rnacentral:rRNA from 1 species
AAUUGACGGGGCCCGCACAAGCAGUGGAGUAUGUGGUUUAAUUCGACGCAACGCGAAGAACCUUUACCAGGGCUUGACAUCCUCUGACGACAGUAGAGAUACUGUUUUCCCUUCGGGGACAGAGAGACAGGUGCUGCAUGGUUGUCGUCAGCUCGUGCCGUGAGGUGUCGGGUUAAGUCCCAUAACGAGCGCAACCCUUAUCCUUUGUUGCCAGCGGUCCGGCCGGGAACUCAAAGGAGACUGCCAGUGAUAAACUGGAGGAAGGUGGGAUGACGUCAAGUCAUCAUGGCCCUUACGACCAGGGCUACACACGUGCUACAAUGGCGCAUACAAAGAGAAGCGACCUCGCGAGAGCAAGCGGACCUCAUAAAGUGCGUCGUAGUCCGGAUUGGAGUCUGCAACUCGACUCCAUGAAGUCGGAAUCGCUAGUAAUCGUGGAUCAGAAUGCCACGGUGAAUACGUUCCCGGGCCUU